rnacentral:rRNA from 1 species
GUGGGGAAUAUUGCGCAAUGGGGGAAACCCUGACGCAGCGACGCCGCGUGAGCGAAGAAGGCCUUUGGGUUGUAAAGCUCUGUUCUAAGGGACGAAGGCAGUGACGGUACCUUAGGAGGAAGCCCCGGCUAACUACGUGCCAGCAGCCGCGGUAAUACGUAGGGGGCGAGCGUUGUCCGGAAUUACUGGGCGUAAAGCGCGUGUAGGCGGGUGCUUAAGUCAGAUGUGAAAUACCGGGGCCCAACCCCGGGGCUGCAUCUGAAACUGGGCAUCUUGAGGGCAGGAGAGGAAAGUGGAAUUCCUGGUGUAGCGGUGAAAUGCGUAGAUAUCAGGAGGAACACCAGUGGCGAAGGCGGCUUUCUGGACUGACCCUGACGCUGAGACGCGAAAGCGUGGGGAGCAAACAGGAUUAGAAACCCUAGUAGUCC